CCAGGCUACGGGUCCAAUCGGAGCUGUAACCACCAGCCUAUGCCAGAGCCACAGCAACUCGGGAUCCGAGCCGCGUCUGCAGCCUACACCACAGCUCACGGCAACGCCGGAUCGUUAACCCACUGAGCAAGGGCAGGGACCGAACCCACAACCUCAUGGUUCCUAGUCGAUUCGUUAACCACUGCGCCACGACGGGAACUCCUCUUUGGAGCCAGUAUUCCAAUACCUGCACAAUACAUAAUUUUGUGAGAGGAGCAACAACAAAAAAAUACCUAUAGCAUGAGGGAUAGUUGCUACAGUAGAGGGAUCGCAUGUGUAGGAGCGAGUGAAUCUUCUUGGGUGGGGACAGGGUGGAAGAAGGAGAAAGAGGAGAGAACACAAGGAAAGUUCAGAAAGAGCCGCAGAGAGGAGGAGGCCUUUGAGCUGGGCACUGAAGGAUGAGUAGGAGCUCUCCAUGCAGGCAAAGGGCAAAGGAGGGGGUGUUCUUUGAGCAAGGGCGCCGGCAAAAGAAAAGCACUUAUGUUUUCGGAGUGAUGUCUAGGCUACUCUGACACAAGGCGAAGGUGUCUAGAGGUAGCAGAAGAAGAGGAGAAGACGUAGCCUGAAGGGUGGUCAGGGGUCAGAUAGCGAAGGUAUGGUGGUAAUGCCAAUAACGCUAAAGCUUUGGGAUUUCUUUAAUAGACCAGGGGUAACCAUUUACACGUUAAAGCAAGGAACCGACCUAAUCUAAUUUGAGUCUUAGAAACACUAUAUUGGGCUAAGAGCAGAAUAGGCCUCGAGCCUGUCAAGAUGUCUAUAAUUUGCCCCCCAGAUGGGGGGGGGUACUCUCUUCCCCCAGGGAGCUAAACAAACUCCCCUAAAGCCAGGAUCCUGAGGGGGUGUAUCCAGGAAGCAGGCCCUACUGCCACUCCCUCUGGGAGAGCGCAGGGUACCCACCGGGGCCCAGGGCCCCGCGCUGUGGCCUACCUCCCUGACAGCCACACGUGGGCAAACCCUUCCACAGCAAGGAAAACAUGGAAACCAACCAACAAAAACCUUUUCCAUCCUCUGAGACGUCUUAAACACAAGACUCGUUCCUAUUAGAAGCCUUGGUCCUCACUCUCCAUUCAAAUCCACUCCCAACCACCUCACAACCUGUGGUCGGUUUGUGGAUAAAACUGCAUCUGCCACCAAUGCUUCUGUCAGGCACUGCUAAUCAUCAAUUGUUUGAUAGAUACUGGUUACAGUCAAAGAUCCUAUUACGAUUGAUCAUUUUUCAUUAUGAAAACAUAGUUUUUAGCUCUUGUUUUCCUCAAGGACUGGGUAUGGAUAAUUGAGCUUUGAAGAAAGCCAGAAAACUCUUUGGAUACAAAUUGAGGGGGAAAAAAACGAAAUGGUAAGUACUAAGUUGUAGUCCACUUUUGCCCUUAUCUUUAAUAGUGGAAAUACAGUUUAGUGCACCGUGCAAAAGAGCAUCCUUAUGUUUUUAAAUUGCAAGUGUCCAAUUAUGUACAAGGGUCAAGGCAAAAUUGAUCUGAAGGAGCUCAAUUUUAAAAUCAUUUUAAAAAUCAGGACAAAGGAUGCAGUAUUAUUAAACCCAAAUGUUUAAAAAAUGAAAAGUAUUAUGCAUGCCGCACGGCAGAAGAUCAGAUUUUUAUUAAUGCAAGUUUUAAAUGCUGAUUAAUCCUCUCGAGAGUCAGUUUCCCAAAGCAUUGGACUGUAUUCAAGUCUUUUUCAAAAGGGCCUAUCGCUUCCAUUAUUCUGAAUAUUAAUUGAACAACAUUAUAACUAAGGAUACAAAGCAAGAUUUAAAACAUGAUUACAGCUGUCAGUGCUAACAUCUAAAUAAGUCACUGGAAAUUCAAGCUUAGAAGAAAAAAAAUGGUGUAAAUCGGUCUUAGAACAGUGAAGCUCUCUCGCAGCCUUUUUCAAAAAUGAAUUUGAUGCUUUAGAACUCAAAAAUGUUUCAGUUGUGACUUGGUCUUAAUAUAUUUAUAUGGGCAAGUUUCAAUUGGAAAUCAGAGCUAUAUAUGGCUUUGCAAUUUGGGACAAUGUCAAAGGACAUUUUCGGGGGGGGGGGGCAGGGCGCAGGGAGAAGGAAAGGAAGAGCCAAAGAAUAUUAUUCGUUGACAGUAUUUUCCCAUUUCCUUAUUUUAUAUUUCUGUUUUGGUCUCUUGUCUACACUCAACAAUCAAAGAAUUAACCAAACUUCAUCAAAAUAUUACUACAGUUUCAAAACAACCCAUUAAGCUCAGAGUCAAGCAACUGGAAGUAAUUAAUGACUUAUUUCCACAAUAACCAACUGUCUAAAUUCAACUUCUUUUAUCUCCCAAACUGGGGAGUUUGGGGGUAAGUAAAAAUCCCCAUUUCCCCACCAGAAGCCGUGGAAAAUAUUGGCUUCUAUUGCAACCUUGGGGGAUUUCAGUUUUGUUUUGUUGCCUUAAAUGGUUGCUGUGUGUUUGAGUGAUGGCUCUUUGUUCGAAAGGAUGCAAAAGCCACGCUCACAUCUAAUUCUAGUGAGAUAAAUGGCAUGAUGAAGGGAAUAUUAAAAAUUUACAGCCCUCUUUACUAAGUUUAUUUGUCAGCCAAACAUGCUGAAUAUUGCAUAGCACACACACACACACACACAAAAGCACGCCAUCCCGACGAUGAAAAAGAUAUGAGGAAAUAAAGAUGCAGUAGUGGUAACAAGUCUGAUGGAGUCUGCAUAUCCCCGUCGCUGCUGGCAUGUCAUUUAACUGUAUUGCGCCAAACCGGCAGAAUCACACAAUAUGUUAGUGUAAAGGAUCCACAGUUUAAGCGGAAAAUCUAGACGUGUUAACUAUACACGGUCUAAUUACACAACCUUACUGUCCCAGAAUGUGAUUUCAGAAACCAUUUCUGACAUAUGGGAAAAGGGUAGAACAGCUGGUCAUUAAGGUUUUCUCAAGACUAUUUAGCAACACACUUGAAUGUAAUUAAAGUGAGACACUAAAUACUGCACUUGUGGUACAAUGUAUUUUUAAUUUUUAUGGCAUGUGGUAAAAGUAAAUAGAUGCAAAGCAUUCAAGUUUCUCCAUUCGGCAUCCAACUUGUCAAAGAUGCAGUGUCUGUUUGGCUGACGGCAAGCUGGGACCCCGUGUAAGUUACAGGCAUCCAUGUAGGGUGUUGAAGGCUGUCUUAAAGGGACCGAAUUGGGCGAUAAUCAGAGGGAUGUCUAAUUGGAACUCCCAGACAAAGCAUGAGAUGAAUUUGUUCACUUACUUAUUCAUUCAUUCAUCAAACGCGACCCGGAAUACUUUUAGAUGAUAAAGACAUUAGCCCUGACCUCGGGUUGCUCACAGCUUACUGUGCUUAAAACAUAGACCGACGGAAGGUCUUUAAAGCAUAUUCUGGGAGCACCCAGAAGGGGUGCCUGACCCAAACUGGUGAUGUCAAAGGCCCCUGAAUAGGAAUCAUCUUAGGUGGGAACUGAGGAAGUGAGGGGUAGGAUGGGGCAGGACAAUUAAGGCAGAGGAAGCAGAUCACCAAAAGGCUUAGGGAAAUACUGUAUCAAGAAUAUAAUUUUUACAUUUAUUGAACGUUUACAACAUCCUGGCACUGGGCUAAGCCCUUGACACCUACGGUGUCAUUUACUCUUCCCGGUAACUCUGUGUGGUAAGUACUGUGGCCUACACUCUGUGGAUGGAGAAACUAACAGACUAGUCAAUGGCAAAGUAGUUCACGGGUGACAGAACCAGGGGUCAAACCCAGGUUUGCCCGACUACCGAAUCAAACUUUUCCCCAUAUUGCCUUCCUCCAACUAGCAGGAAAGGAGCAUGUCUAUUCAGUUUUUAAAGAACUUAGAGUAUAAACUCCUUAGCUCUUAUGAAAACCCUAUGAUUAAGAGAAAGGAAAAGGCUACAGAGUGGGAGAAAAUAAUUGCAAAUCACAUAUUUAAUAAUGGA
rnacentral:lncRNA from 1 species